rnacentral:rRNA from 1 species
AGAUUGAACGCUGGCGGCAUGCCUUACACAUGCAAGUCGAACGGCAGCACGGGAGCAAUCCUGGUGGCGAGUGGCGAACGGGUGAGUAAUAUAUCGGAACGUGCCCAGUCGUGGGGGAUAACGCAGUGAAAGCUGUGCUAAUACCGCAUACGAUCUAUGGAUGAAAGCGGGGGACUCGCAAGAGCCUCGCGCGAUUGGAGCGGCCGAUAUCAGAUUAGCUAGUUGGUGGGGUAAAAGCCCACCAAGGCGACGAUCUGUAGCUGGUCUGAGAGGACGACCAGCCACACUGGAACUGAGACACGGUCCAGACUCCUACGGGAGGCAGCAGUGGGGAAUUUUGGACAAUGGGCGCAAGCCUGAUCCAGCAAUGCCGCGUGCAGGAUGAAGGCCUUCGGUUGUAAACUGUCUUUUGUACGGAACGUAAAGGUCCUUUCUAAUACGAAGGGCCCAGUCGACGGUACCGUAAGAAUAAGACACCGGCUAACUACGUGACCG